UCAGGUAUACCACUGAUAUUUGUUGUCUUCAAAUCCUGUGUGCUUACAUUUCCACUAAUGUUGACCAUGGAAGGACCAAUGAAAAUAUCCUAGUAAGGCCAAGGAACAAUUUAAGAUCAAUCCAAGACUUGCAAGCAGCAGAAUACUGUGAUCAAAGUUUAUUUUUUGAGAAGUUUCUCUGACGACUGACUUUAAAGUAGACAGAGACAGGAUUCAGGACACUGCAUUCCCAUGAAACUGCACCAAAGUCCAGGGACAAGGGAAUUUUGCCAACAUCCAUCUAAGUUUGGGAGAGGACCCAGAGCUUCAGAUAUGACCACAGUCCAGCCAGCACGUCGACUGCAGCUGUGUGUGACCCUGAGCAGAACACUCAGCUAAGCUGCUCCCAGACUCCUGAUUCAC